rnacentral:rRNA from 1 species
UACGUAGGGUGCGAGCGUUGUCCGGAAUUAUUGGGCGUAAAGAGCUUGCAGGCGGUCUGUCGCGUCUGCUGUGAAAAUCCGGGGCUCAACCCCGGACUUGCAGUGGGUACGGGCAGACUAGAGUGUGGUAGGGGAGACUGGAAUUCCUGGUGUAGCGGUGAAAUGCGCAGAUAUCAGGAGGAACACCGAUGGCGAAGGCAGGUCUCUGGGCCGCAACUGACGCUGAGGAGCGAAAGCAUGGGGAGCGAACAGG